rnacentral:snoRNA from 1 species
UCCUGAGUGACUUCACUUUAGAUAAUAGCCUCCACAGACACCAUGGAAAAGCAGUCUUCCCUUUAAACUGACUGAUGAUAUGCUAAGUUUUUCCAUAGCAUAUCAUUAUUAAAGGAGAAUACAAAU